rnacentral:rRNA from 1 species
UACGGAGGGGGCAAGCGUUAUUCGGAAUUAUUGGGCGUAAAGGGCGCGUAGGCGGCUAGAUGUGUCAAAGGUGAAAUCCCUCGGCUCAACUGAGGAACUGCCUUUGAAACUGUCUGGCUUGAGGCCGGGAGAGGGUAGCGGAAUUCCCAGUGUAGCGGUGAAAUGCGUAGAUAUCGGGAGGAACACCAGUGGCGAAGGCGACUACCUGGCCUGUUCUUGACGCUGAGGCGCGAAAGCUAGGGGAGCAAACGGG